rnacentral:rRNA from 1 species
GAUGAACGCUGGCGGCGUGCCUAACACAUGCAAGUCGAACGAAGCACCUUACCUGAUUCUUCGGAUGAAAGUUUGGUGACUGAGUGGCGGACGGGUGAGUAACGCGUGGGUAACCUGCCCUGUACAGGGGGAUAACAGCUGGAAACGGCUGCUAAUACCGCAUAAGCGCACGAGGAGACAUCUCCUUGUGUGAAAAACUCCGGUGGUACAGGAUGGGCCCGCGUCUGAUUAGCUGGUUGGCAGGGUAACGGCCUACCAAGGCAACGAUCAGUAGCCGGUCUGAGAGGAUGACCGGCCACAUUGGAACUGAGACACGGUCCAAACUCCUACGGGAGGCAGCAGUGGGGAAUAUUGCACAAUGGGGGAAAACCUGAUGCAGCAACGCCGCGUGAGUGAAGAAGUAUUUCGGUAUGUAAAGCUCUAUCAGCAGGGAAGAUAAUGACGGUACCUGACUAAGAAGCUCCGGCUAAAUACGUG